rnacentral:lncRNA from 1 species
UAUUUUGCAAGCGGGAGUGGAUUGGACAUGUUGAACAUACACUGGUGUAUAUACUGUAUUUAGCCUGAAGACUUUCCUAAAGUAUUUUGUUCUAAGAAAUAACCUGCCAUUUUCUAUAGAUUUUACUUUUUUAUAUCUUCUAAUCUUCUUUCAUCAUCACAUGGAGAGAUGUGGCUUUACCCAGUGCUAACCAUUUGUAAGUGCUUUUGUAGAGACUUGGAGCUGCUAAGGAAGAUUUUGGAGCUUCCUACCUACUGGUGUCAGUAAGAUGAAGCAUGUGGAAUGUAUGAUAGUGUUGUACAGUGGACUCGGGUUUAGAUCCAUUUCAUGUUUAUUUAAAAUCAUUGUUUGCCAUGGGGCACAAGUAGGGGCAGGGACAGGAGCUUCACAGCAUAUGUAAGAGGUGUCUUCAAAUCUCAAUAGACUCUUCCCGGGCCUAUUCUGGAGGGUUCACCUGAGGUCACUAGUAUCACCAAGGGACUUGGAAUGCCUGGGCAGCUCCCAGGCUUUUGAUGCCAAUUAGCACUGCCUGGAUUCUGUGACUUUCCUUUCUUGUUUGCAGUCAGAAGUGAAGGAUUUGGUACACCAUCUUUUUGCCAACAGUUUAUGGCGAGAAUCAUCACUGCCAUGGAGGGUACUCAGGAAGAACUCCAAUUGUUCUGGACAAGAAAAUUAAAAGGUGUCCAUCCUUGGCUUGGAAUCGUGUGUGUGUGUGUGUGUGUGUGUGUGUGUGUGUGUGUGUGUGUGUGUGUGUGUGUGUGUGUGUGUGUUAGGGGGCUUUCUGACUUCAAGGCUUGAUUUAGAAAUGUGAAGUGUUUUAUGCUUGGUGUGUCUAGGGAUUGUUCUUAUUUGCUGGUGGCAGGCAGAGUGCCCUGAGGGGUCUGAAUUAUUUCCCAGAGCCUCUCUCCAGAUUCUACUGUGGGGCAGAGACCGACCUGUGCAGGAGAGGGAAGUCACUCCAGGUUAAAAAAUGUGGUAGAGGGGUUGGGGAUUUAGCUCAGUGGUAGAGUGCUUGCCUAGCAAGCGCAAGGCCCUGGGUUUGGUCCCCAGCUCCGAAAAAAAGAAAAAAGGAAAAAAAAAAAUGUGGUAGAAGACAGUAGAAAGUUUCCUGCCUAGCCUCGCAAACCCUGCCCUGCUUCUGACAGCGCGGCUGUAAACCACAGGUAGCACUGGGCCUCCCGCUCAGGUUCACUCCCCUCUAGGUCUUUCCUACUUGGAACAUAGUUUUUGGAAUCCUUUAUAGUUUGAAAACAAAUGUGAAACAUUUUAUUCAAAUUAUUUUGGAGCCCUUGUUGAUGUUUUUUCAUGUAAAAAAAAAUCAUGUAAUACCAGGAAUUUGGUAGUGUAUGUUACUUACAGAGGCACAUGAGGUUUGGUUUCGAUCUGUGGUGAGCCAGGUGCGCUGUACAUCUUCGAGUGCUCCACUGCUGUGUGCCCUCAUCAUUGAGCAUCAGGCUGCCGACAGAGUUCAUCUGACAUGGCCCAUAUGUUAAGGCUAUCAGGAAAACAUCAGAGCUGGGACAGCUUUGGCACAGCCUCCCAGAGUCGAGCUCUCUGCUGCUAUGAACUCUGCAGCGUGAACUUUGCUAGGUGCUAUUCCAGACUGGGGGACUGUGUUUCUGUGCUUGUAGUUCUGUUGGUUUUUCCUGUAGGCAUUUAUGUUCUGUGUAGGUCUGCUCACCAACUGUGCCUCUCACCACUGGUUAAAAUUGAGUUCAGGCCCCAUUACCAAAAUGUGUUGUGUUUUGUUUUUUGUUUUGUCUUGUUUUGAUUCUCUUGUGUUUUUGCACCAGCGUGUAUUUCUCUCGUCUUAAAAGCUGCAUGUCAUAUCACUGUACACAAAAUGCUUUGGUGUCUGUCAUUCAUGAGCCAUCAUUAGUGAGCUCUGUAUAAAUUUAAUUUUGCAGUAAAAGGACGGCAGAGUAUCCUUCCUGCAGGCUGGAAGAAAGUGUAUCCUGCAUUUUAAAUUAUGUUAGGCCAAGUGCAUGAGGUGUGUCACUGCCUUCUGUUUAUUUAUUUGUAUAUUUUAUUAUUCAAGGUGUACGCACUUUUAAGAAGCAGAAUUUAUAUUUUUAUGUUGAAAACGUUUUAUUUCUGAGACAGCAGUUGGUUGUAUAGUAUACAGUUGGAAUUAAGAGAAAACUGGAAAAUGUAACAAAACAUAAUAAAUUUAUUACAUGAUGCCUUCUUC